AACAGCUGGCAAUAGCUGCUCAAAUUGGCUUAGGCCUCAGGAGCCCUCAACCCUCCAUGAUGGAUUUUUAAUUUGCUUGAUCUUGUGCAGAGAGACACAGUUGCUUUGAGUUCAUGUGAGUAACAGCCAUGCCCCAUCCAGAACUCACCACUUGCAGCUCGCCUCCCAUUCUACAGCUCUUCUGUCUCUCUGCCUCCUCUUCCGUGGUACUCACAGAGCUUCAGAGAGGUGGAGGAACAGGAGCAUCCAUCCACAGGUUUAUGGUCACCUCUGCUUUCAAACCCUUGGGAGUCAACUCGAACACUCAAGACUUUAGAGAACAAUAAAACUGUAAACCUUCAAUUUCCUGGGAAUAUCACAGGACAGAGAGCAAAUUCACAGAAAAAACUAAAGAGCUUUACCUCCCUGUGCAUCCUACAGUUUUAAUGCAUCAGUGCACCCACUAAAGGCCUUGUGAUCUCACCUAACAAAAAAAAGAGAAAGAUUCUUUUGUAACACUCUGAACAGCAUGCUCCAAACCCAUCUGUAUGGCUAUAGUGGCACACCUAAACAUUGACCUUUCUUGGGAAGUCCGGUUCUCACUCUGGCCUGUGCAAUGCUCUCCCUAAGCUGCUCAAGCCUAAACCUAUGCUACAACCUUUUUAUUAACUAAGAAUAUUAAUUAUUAUGAAUGCAUGUCAGAAAGAAUGAGCAAAUGAAUGAGUGAAUGAAUGAGUGUGUGUGUGUGUGUAUGGAAGUCAGAGAACAACUUUCUUUGAUGAGUUCUCCCUUUUUACCUUGGUAUCCAGGGAUGAAACCCAGGUCGUCGGGUUGAUACUUUGACCCACCUUGCCUUCUCAUUGUCCUUAAAACAUUUUAAUAAACUGCCACUCAGCUUCAUACUGGCCUGUUUUGAAAUUACUUUCUAGGCAAAGCUGAUGACCUCACUUGGACUUGAGUCUUUAAAAGGAACUCUUUGGGCUAUGCAGGAGGAAAAAUGGAUCCGUCUGACUAAUUCUCACUCCUGAUAAUGCUGACAGAUAGGCCUGAGCUACAAUGCUUAGAGAAAAGAGUUAAACAUAAAAGCCUAAUAUUGUAGACUAGAUAUGGUGGUGAAUGCCUUUAACCCAAAGUACCCAGGAGGCCAGCCUGGCCUACAGAGUGAGUUCCAAGACAGCCAUGGCUAUACAGGGAAACAGUCUCUCAAACACAACAGGGGUUGGGGAUUUAAUUGAGUGGUAGAACAAUUACCUAGGAUUGUCCUGGGUUCAGCUCUCAGCUCUGGGGAAAAAGAGCAGAAAAGCAAAAGAACAAAAAUCAAAUAUUAUAUGGUGUUGUGUGGUAGUUUGAAUGAAAACAACCCAUAUAAACUCAUAGGGAAUGGCACUAUUUGAAAAAAUUAGAACAUGAGACCUUGGUGGAGAAAGUGUGUCACUGGGGAUGGGCUUUGGGGUUUCUGUCUCUCUGUCUCUCUGUCUCUAUCUGUCUCUCUGUCUGUGUUUGUGUGUGUGUGUAUGUGUGUGUAUGUUUGUGUGUUAUCUGUCUGUCUGUCUGUCUGUCUGUCUGUCUGCUUGCAUGCUUGCAUGCCUGCCUGCUACUAGCUGUGCAUUCACAUGUAGAACUCUGAGCUAUUCUCCAGCACCAGGCUUGUCUGUGUGUCACUAUGCUCCUAUCAUGGUGAUAAUAAACUAAACCAUUGGAACUGUAAGCUAAUCCCAACUGUGUUCGAGACCCCAUAUGAACAACAAGGCCAAGCAACCAGAGCUUCCAGAGACUAAGCCACUACCCAAAGACCAUACAUGGACUGACCCUGGACUCUGACCUCAUAGGUAACAAUGAAUAGCCUAGUAAGAGCACCAGUGGAAGGGGAAGCCCUUGGUCCUGCCAAGACUGAACCCCCAGUGA